rnacentral:rRNA from 1 species
UGGGGAAUAUUGCACAAUGGGCGCAAGCCUGAUGCAGCCAUGCCGCGUGUAUGAAGAAGGCCUUCGGGUUGUAAAGUACUUUCAGCGAGGAGGAAGGCAUUAAGGUUAAUAACCUUAGUGAUUGACGUUACUCGCAGAAGAAGCACCGGCUAACUCCGUGCCAGCAGCCGCGGUAAUACGGAGGGUGCAAGCGUUAAUCGGAAUUACUGGGCGUAAAGCGCACGCAGGCGGUCUGUUAAGUCAGAUGUGAAAUCCCCGGGCUCAACCUGGGAACUGCAUUUGAAACUGGCAGGCUUGAGUCUUGUAGAGGGGGGUAGAGUUCCAGGUGUAGCGGUGAAGUGCGUAGAGAUCUGGAGGAAUACCGGUGGCAAAGGCAAUCCCCUGGACCUGUACUGACGCUCAUACACGAAAGCGUGGGGAGCAAACA